GUCGAUGUUCAAAGGAACGCAUGUGACAUUUCAAAAUCUUUCCAACAUGGCGGACGGUCCCCUCGACAGUGGAUACUUUCUUAAUGGCAAGCCAAGCUCUGGGAGCGCGCGUGACGUAUGAAGUUGACUGGAGUCAGAUUUGUCUCUGCUGGAGUGGACUUCACCAGCUACAAAUGAAUACACGAGCUACAAACGAAUACAAAUGCGCACUGUCGCCUGAGCGUUCACGCGGCCUGACUGAAGGAUGUUGGUGCAGAAGACAAGACAGAAGGCUAGUAGUUAAAGCUAAGUCCCCCCCUGUUCCCUGAUUUAAGAAGUGAUGACCACUCCACUACACCACCAUUGUCAACUCUCUCCUGACAUGAACUGAAGCCAUGUCUCAUGUGCCCGCUCAUCCACUGGCAUAUUUAAUGUUUCCUCUCCA